GCGACCCCAGGAUGGGCGAGGCCACCCGCUGAGUUUAAGCAUAUCAAUAAGCGGAGGAGAAGAAACUUACC
rnacentral:rRNA from 1 species